GGAGGGGUGCCCGAGUGGUCGAAGGGGGCCGACUCGAAAUCGGCUGUGCGGGUAAAAGCCCGCACCGGGGGUUCGAAUCCCUCCCCCUCCGCCA
rnacentral:tRNA from 1 species